rnacentral:lncRNA from 1 species
ACCGAGUGUUAAAAGGAUAAUAAGGAUUGAAGCGAUCACGGAGUGCAGCCGUGCUGCCUGCUACUGUAGCAGCCUUCGAGCAGAGGUUCAGAACGUUUUUGCUUGAUGCCUGGCUCUCUGCAGAAUAAGCCGCACAAGGAUUUUGAAAUUUGCUGCAAAAUCAUUUUGAAUCCACCGGAGCUUCAAUGAUGAAUCACCAAAGCUUUACCUCCCCGGGGGAAAACCUAAUCCCAAUGCACAGCUCAGCUAUACACAGAAGCCCAUGCAAUGUGGCCCUGACCCAAUAGACUUCAAUGAGAUUUGGAUCA